GACGAACGCUGGCGGCGUGCUUAACACAUGCAAGUCGAACGGGAAGGCCCUGCUUUUGUGGGGUGGGCGAGGGGCGAAGGGGGGAGCAACACGUGAGUAACCUGCCCCUGCCUUUGGGAUAAGUUCAGGAAACUGGGGCUAAUACGGGAUAGGAGCUCCUGCUUCUUGGUGGGGGUUGGAAAGUUUCGGCGGUUGGGGAUGUAAUCGCGGCCUAUCAGCUUGUUGGUGGGGUAGUGGAAUACCAAGCCUUUGACGGGUAGCAGGGCUGCGAGGGUGAGCCGCCACACUGCAACUGAAAUAAGACACAGCCUACUAUGGGAGGCGAGGGAGGGGAAUAGUGUAUAAUGGACUGAGGGCAGACGCAGCAAAGCCACGUCGGGGAUGACAGCCAUCGGUUUGUAAUGCACUUCCGCCUGUGCCGGGACGUGAAUGACAGUACUGGGUAAAUAAGCACCGGCUAACUACGUG
rnacentral:rRNA from 1 species